GACUAGUCCAGGCACCCUCUGGACCACUGCCAGCAGACCAAGUCUCCCAGGUUCACACAGUGGAGAACCUCAUCCGGAUGGGAAUAUCUGCCUUGAUCCUCACAGCUCUUGGGAUUUUGCUGUUUGAGGCUUGCCGCAGCCAGAGAAGGACCCAGAAUUCAUCCUAGAAGUAUAGAGGAGAGACCAGAGUAUGCCUAGUCUGGUGAUCAAGUCUUGGAAAUCAUUUUGAGGAUCUCAGGUGCUUUUCAAGAGAAAAUUCAGUGCUUAAUUUUGUGAGUUACUUGUGAUAAACUAUCCGGCAAGAUAUGUGUUUUGGUUGCAGGAAAAGACCUAAAUAUUGGGGUGAUCAGCUCUUCUACCACCACAUUAAGACUCUUACCCUGUACUUUGUUGUGCACUUUUGAAGAUUUUCCAUUCCUCUAUUUUAAGUCCAUGAUGUAAGGUAACAUCUAGUGUCACCAAUGAGGUUUACAUUCCCACCUCUGUAUAUAUUUUGCUUUUCCUCAGUCUCAUGUUAUAUUUUCCUUUAUACAUCACCACAUACCACAUUGUGUAUUAUGAGACUAUCUGUCCUGAAGAGAUCUGUAAGGUCACACCUAAAUCAAUAAAUUCAUAUAAAUGUG